UACGAAGGGGGCUAGCGUUGCUCGGAAUCACUGGGCGUAAAGCGCACGUAGGCGGCUUUCUAAGUCAGGGGUGAAAUCCUGGAGCUCAACUCCAGAACUGCCUUUGAUACUGGAGAGCUUGAGUCCGGGAGAGGUGAGUGGAACUCCGAGUGUAGAGGUGAAAUUCGUAGAUAUUCGGGAGAACACCAGUGGCGAAGGCGGCUCACUGGCCCGGUACUGACGCUGAUGUGCGAAAGCGUGGGGAGCAAACAGG
rnacentral:rRNA from 1 species